UACAGAGGGUGCGAGCGUUAAUCGGAAUUACUGGGCGUAAAGCGCGCGUAGGCGGCUUUGCAAGUCGGGUGUGAAAUCCCCAGGCUUAACCUGGGAACUGCAUUCGAGACUGCAUUGCUAGAGUAUGGGAGAGGGAAGUGGAAUUUCCGGUGUAGCGGUGAAAUGCGUAGAUAUCGGAAGGAACAUCAGUGGCGAAGGCGGCCUCCUGGCUCGACACUGACGCUGAGGUGCGAAAGCGUGGGGAUCAAACAGG
rnacentral:rRNA from 1 species